CCUCUCUGCGCCUCUGCCUCUGCCUCUGCCUCUGCCUCUGCCUCUGCCUCUGCCUCUGCCUGCAGACUAUUGGGAUGAAAGGCCUACACUACCACCUCCUGGCUUAUUUCAACUCUACAUAAGAGGCCAAGAACUGGAAAACAUCUGACCCAGGCCCCAACCGCUUAUAACACACAGGAAGCCCCUCCAGACUUCUCAACCACAUAUGACCCUGCAUGGUGGCCCUCGCCCUCGCCCCAGGGUGCAGGCCCUCGCAUGGGGAUCACUUGCGCCCCAGUUCGACACUGAACAUUAUGUACCUGCUUUAACCUUUGACACCCCAGCCGUCCCAGAGAUGUGGAGGUUCUGUCUUCUCCAGAGCUCCUGACAAAGGACAUCAAAACACCGGCAGAGAGGAGGUCGCUUGUGCCCUGGAAAGUCUCCGAAGCAAGAGGAAUGGCUAAUGAAACCUCCUCUCCGCAGAGUAAUUCAGCAAUUAUCUUCUGGUGCUCAGCGUGAGCCAACACACCAUCCUAAAGAACAGCUCAUCCCACAGGCAUGCACACGGCUGUCUGCUCCUCCCAGGCCCUGGGGCUACAAGUACAGCGGCCAGCUGGAAAGGCAAGGCAGCCUGGCUGGAAGAGCUAGGCAGUGCUGGAGUGGUGAACCCAGAUGCCUUCAGUCCCAGGGACGGGAAGGGGUGUGGAGCAGGGGAAAGCGGCAGGGCUCAGGCUACAAACAGGCUGACUGUUCAUGACUCCCUGGUCACUCAGGGCUACCCAGGUCUGUGUCUAGGGACCUCGAAGGGAGACAACUAGCAACGUCAUUCAGGUGGGAAAAGGGCAGUUUCAGGAAAGACCUAAGCACUCAAAGGCCAGCCAGUGGGCAUGGAUGGGCAGCCUGAGGCCCUACUGCUCAGGAAAGGUCUGUGCAUCCUAAGUAGUUAGACGGGAACUUCAUCUCGGUGUAGCUUCUGCAGGUGUGAUUCACAGCUGGAAGACACCAGACUGCACGGCAUCCACAGAAGUCUCUUCUCUGAAAGGGACUCAUGCUACUGAUGUUGAUUUGAAUUGGAUAGCUUGGAGUAACUCGAUGCCACAGCUAAAUGUUCCAAGCAUGAAUCACCCUUCAGCAACACCUACUCACGCCCCAGAAGCCAAGGUUAAGCUCACCAGUAGCCCUGGCUUUGACAGAGGCAGAGCUGUGACAUGAACGCCGUGGAGGGUUUGUUUACUGGAGCCUCGCCUGUGUAGUCCUCGAUUACCUAGCCCGAGUACUCUCAGCUGGGCCUGCUGUCCAUGCUGUGCCCUAAGCUGAUGGAACCAUUCUCCCUCGGGACCACACACCACCACUGUUCUGACCUCCCAGGUAAAUACAUUUAUAAAGCCCUGCAUUCCAUUGUCCUGCCCUUCCCACUGAUCAUGUUGACCGCCUUAGUGACUUUCUAUGAAUAGUACUGAACCUGCCUCAGGAGGGUCUGAGAACUCUGAACGCAUAUGGAACACUGCUUGGUGCUUGGCCCAUAACAAGUAAAAGACCUAAUUAUAGCAAGGGAAGUAGAUGGCUUCAGACACUUCCCAACCAGGAAGGGUGGAACCCCAUCCUACUUCCAGGACUGGACUUGGGCCAUGCACGAGCUUGCUGGAGCGUUGCCCCGCUCCGUGUUUAUCCCAUGUGCAACUGUCCUUUAAGGCUGCUUGGCUUCCAUCUGACCUGCCACUCCCAAGAUGCCUGAUUCCAGAGCUAAUAUCUCCUAGAAGAAACUGCCACACUCCUCUGAGGUCAGGUGCAGGGUGAUGGGUAGUGUUUAACCUUAGCCUUAGGGUUUUUUCUUCUCUAAGAUUUAUUUAUCCACUACAUGUAAGUACACUGUAGCCCUAGACACCCCUUCCUCUCCAUCCAGCCCACCUUGCUCUAGCCCAGCUCUCUCUGGCCCAAAGAUUUAUGUACUUACCACAUGUAAGUACACUGUUGCUGUCUUCAGACAUCCCAGAAGAGGGUAUCAGAUCUCAUUAUGGAUGGUUGUGAGCCACCGUGUGGUUGCUGCGACUUGAACU